rnacentral:rRNA from 1 species
AUUGAACGCUGGCGGCAUGCCUUACACAUGCAAGUCGAACGGUAACAGGUUAAGCUGCCGAGUGGCGAACGGGUGAGCAAUGUAUCGGAACGUGCCCAGUCGUGGGGGAUAACUGCUCGAAAGAGCAGCUAAUACCGCAUACGACCUGAGGGUGAAAGCGGGGGAUCGCAAGACCUCGCGCGAUUGGAGCGGCCGAUAUCAGAUUAGGUAGUUGGUGAGGUAAAGGCUCACCAAGCCGACGAUCUGUAGCUGGUCUGAGAGGACGACCAGCCACACUGGGACUGAGACACGGCCCAGACUCCUACGGGAGGCAGCAGUGGGGAAUUUUGGACAAUGGGCGCAAGCCUGAUCCAGCCAUGCCGCGUGCGGGAAGAAGGCCUUCGGGUUGUAAACCGCUUUUGUCAGGGAAGAAAAGGUUCUGGCUAAUACCUGGGACUCAUGACGGUACCUGAAGAAUAAGCACCGGCUAACUACGUG